rnacentral:piRNA from 1 species
GUGGUCUGCACUCGGAUGAUGAUCUUGUG